UCAGAAGCAGUCCGGUUCUUUGGAAUUCUGUUUUGUGCAGCAGCAGAGAGAGAACAGCAGACAGAGAAUAUAAUGGAGCUGUUAUCAUCACUGUCCAGAUUUAAAAUAUUCCGAUGUUUUAGGCCUUGCGGUGGCAAUAGAGAGAGAGACAAGGAUCCAUGUGACUUCCUGCUGGAUCUGUACUCCAAUAUGAAGGACUAUGAAACCAAAACAGGCUUGAGUGUCCUUCCAUCAUUACAGUCAGUUUUCCAGUCAGCUCCUGCAGUCUGGUCCAUAAAGCUCUCAGAGAGAAAGACCUCCAUCCUCCUGGAAGUGCUGAAACUCCAACUAGAGAAGAAACAUGUGGAGCUGACAGGCUGCUCACAUGAAGAGAGUGAAGUGAGGAGUUUCCUUCAGUGUCUGCCUUAUAUCUCACAGCUCAGUGUUGGGCGUCGCUGGUCAGAUGAAGCAGUCAGGUUCUUUGUGAAUCUGUUCUGUGCAGCAGCAGAGAGAGAACAGCAGGCAGGAGAGAAGAUACUGGAGCUGUUAUCAUCAGUGUGCACAUAUCAAACAUUCCCUUUUAAUCACAGAGACAUGUAUGGUGAUAAUAAUAAUAGCAUUAAUUUUGAUCAUAUGAAGAAAUAUCAGUGUAAUUUCCUGCUGGAUCUGUACUCCCAUUUGAAGGACUAUGAGACUAAAACAGGUUUCAGUGUCCUUCCAUCAGUACAGUCAGUUUUCCAGUCUGCUCCAUAAAGCUCUCAAAGAGAAAGACCUCCAUCCUCCAGAAAAUGCUAAAACUCCAGUCAGGGAAGAAAUAAGUGGAGCUGAGAGGCUGCUCACAUGAAGAGAACAGUUUGCCCAGUCACCAAUGAUUUGGAAAGAAGGAACUUUUAAUUCAAAUAAGGCCACCCUCUCUGUAAUCCUUGAUAAGAAACUCAGAUCGUCUUUAAUGAAGAAGAUUUAAAAAGCCCCUUAAAUUUGUGAAGCACAGCUGGAUGAUAGUGAUGGUUCUACAUCAGGUGUAAUUUGAAGAAGAAUCAGGUCUUCUGUGAGUGAGAAUGCUGACACAAAUAUACAUUAUGCAUUUAUUUUUUACUUCAAACCUUCGAUAUCUUUAUUAUUGUUGUUUUUUUAUUUGUUUAUGAAUUUACUUUAUGCCUAAUUGAUAAUUAUGUGCAAUUUUAUUCAGACAUUUUUAUCACCAGUAUGUUUAAUAUAUGCUGCACUCCGGUGGUCACAGUGCAAAGUUACAGAUUUUUCCCUUUUUAUAUUUUUAAACUGUAAACAGACAGAUGUGAUUUUUCCAGCUUAAUUUUAAAAAAAGCAAAGCAAACUAAACUUAAAAAUAAAUCGAUAAAUCAUUGUGCUUGCAGCUUGUGCCCACUGUAGGGCAUGAAAGCUGUUCUCUACUUUCUCUACUUUGACUGAUGCUAACAUAAUCACGGCUCACAUAUGAGCUGUCUAAAUUUUACUAACCUGCUAUAAUAAAUAAUCGGAGUGAGACGUUAGCUAGAGCAAAUUACUGCUGUUACUAUGCAUCAUUUAUGUUGUCUGUGUUUGUGUCCUUUGAGUCUCCUCUUACCUUAAAAUAGUUAGCCACAGCUAAUGUAAUGGAGGGAGGGAAGGUGAUUUAAGCACAGAUGAGAAACCCUCCUAAAACGGACAGAGCAGUGGGGCAGCCAAGGGAAUGCACACAAAUUUAAACUGUAAAGAUAAAAUAUAAUCUAUUCCAUGUAAACAGUUAAAAAAAAAAAUGUAAAAUAGAUUAAAACAGCCCUGGCCAGGGGAGAACACAAUAAACAUCAAUAAAACACAAGAUUAAAAGUCCAGUGGCGAUCGCCACGGUAUAGAAGUCACUAAAAAUUUAAAAAUCCAGUGAAGCGGUGCAGGAGGGAAACCCGGCGGCGUCCUCGUCUUCCUCUUCGCGUUCUGCGCCCCGGUGCGCUAAAGGAAGAAAGGCAGCGGCAGUCACUACUCUUUUCGGCAGCUAUCAUUCGUUAACAGGGAUAAGUCAAAAGACUUACCCCAGGUGGGCAGAGCUCUUAACU